ensembl:lncRNA
AUGGCUGAGAGAGGUUUGCGCAUCCACCUGAAACAGGAAUCAGAGGAAAAACACCUGCAGAAACCUGGAAUUGAUGCUGAACCAUCAGCAUUGAUUACUCAUCCACAGAUAUUAAAGGAAAACCACAAACCAUUAUGGGUUUAUUUCCUCUCACGAGCUCCUGGGGAACAGAAGAACAUCUUUUUAAGCCAUGUGUAAUAGUAGAACAUUAAAAGUUCUCUUACAGUACUGAAGCAGGAUGAAAUGUGUGGAAUUAAAGGUCAGCGUCGUAGCUCAUUAGCUGAUUAACAGUAUUUUAUUAUUUUUAAUAGAAAGUCCAACUCUCACUGCAGGUACAAAAACAGAGAGCUGGUGUAGCAGCAGGGCUGAAUAUGUCAAAUCAAAGGGGAAGAGGAGAGAGAAAGAAAAGCUUUUCCCUUGUUUAUAAUUACAGAAUUCAUUCAUUGUACAUUCCUUAAUCCCAGAGCUGUACAUUAGCAGACAAGCUGAAGAUCAACUGUAUAUUAGACUGUAUUAACCCUUUGUGUUGACGGAAGAAGUUUACGUUGUUUAGUGCUCGCUGAUUGUCUCCAAGCCUCUCGUCAACACAAGUCACGUCUCCAGGCAUGGGGAGCUUUUCUUUUCUUACAGCAGAGGCACAUUUCAAAGGACGAGGUGCUGGAGAAGCCUGGAACCGUAGGAAGGUGCAGAAGGUGCCACCCUGCUGACGUCACGUUGGAGCUUCUCACUAACCAUCAUCAACAAAACAGUAAAGGACGCGUUCACCUCAAAAACUGGUCAUUAACGACUUCGCGUAAGGUCCGACCAAACCUUGUGGUUUCCUUUGCAGAUAAAGAUUUGAUUGUCUUACACGGUUUAUCCAACCACGUACAUUAUUAAGUAUUAUACCUGUCACGUUGUUACAGCAGUGCAGCACAAAUGUGAGAUGAGCAUGGAUGGAUGGACCUACGCAACCUGGGCCCUGUGCCCAAGAGCCUCUGGGACGUGAAUGCUGGUAUUAUUUGUUGACAGACAUCAUCACAGCAGAGACAGAAGACAAUUAGACCCAAAUGAACCCAGAGACAAAAAAAAUGGAGGAUCCAUCCAUGCCCAAACGUGUAGCUUGUUAUGGUCAGAAAUUCAAUGAUUAAUAUUUCUCAGGAUGUGAAUUUACUUUAUCUAAUGCAGUAGUUUGUCUUUUCGUAACACGGGUGAAUUCUUUACCAGUCAGUGUUCACACUAGUUCUGAAUGUGGUUAUCUGUAGUUUUAAAGCCUUUACACAAGUGAAGGAUUUUAACUUGAGCAGGUGGGAUUUAAAGGGUUAAAGUGAUGAUCGGCAGAAUCCGUGUCCACAGAGACGGCGUCUUCAUCAGACGGUGGACUAAAACCCUUCUCGUCAUUUGAAGGCCUCCCAGGAUCUGUGCUUAUCACGGCUCCUCCUGGACGUGAAGAUGCAUCUUCUUGAUUGGUAGAAACCUGAGUUCAUCACGUUUGCAUUGACAGCUCGCUGGCUGUCGGCUGCAGGCAGGCGAGGGACCCGGCAUCUCGUACAGAGCCACCGCUUGUGGAAGCUGAAGGUUUGAUCGACACGUUUGUGCUCAAGUGACUCGUUCACCUGGUCUUCGGGUACCAGGUCUGUUUGUACAAGAUACUGAUCAUUCAACUGAAGUACUGGUUUCUGGAUUUCUGCUGCUCAGCAGGCUGACCCGGCCAAAUCAGACAGGUUUGAGUAAUUCUGCUCUACAGCACAGAGCCGUGUUUACUGGUGGAGGCUGCUCUGCUCAGUGAAGCAAACUUUACCGUGCCCCUUUUUCUGUUUCCGAGGCGACGGCGUCAUCUCAGAGGCUACUUGAGGUUUAAAUGCUUCUACAGCUACACAGAGCUAAAACGCCAGUACAACAAUGAUCAUAGCUCUUUGAAUGCAUACGUUAUAUUUCUAUGUUCAGAUUUCCCUCUGUGAAGUAAAUAAAUACAGUACUUCUGUUUCCUGAUGCGUUCUG